rnacentral:rRNA from 1 species
UGGAUCCAGACUUUGAUCCUGGCUCAGGAUGAACGCUAGCUACAGGCUUAACACAUGCAAGUCGAGGGGAAACGACAUCGAAAGCUUGCUUUUGAUGGGCGUCGACCGGCGCACGGGUGAGUAACGCGUAUCCAACCUGCCCACCACUUGGGGAUAACCUUGCGAAAGUAAGACUAAUACCCAAUGAUAUCUCUAGAAGACAUCUGAAAGGGAUUAAAGAUUUAUCGGUGAUGGAUGGGGAUGCGUCUGAUUAGCUUGUUGGCGGGGUAACGGCCCACCAAGGCGACGAUCAGUAGGGGUUCUGAGAGGAAGGUCCCCCACAUUGGAACUGAGACACGGUCCAAACUCCUACGGGAGGCAGCAGUGAGGAAUAUUGGUCAAUGGGCGAGAGCCUGAACCAGCCAAGUAGCGUGCAGGAUGACGGCCCUAUGGGUUGUAAACUGCUUUUAUAAGGGAAUAAAGUGAGAGUCGUGACUCUUUUUGCAUGUACCUUAUGAAUAAGGACCGGCUAAUUCCGUGCCAGCAGCCGCGGUAAUACGGAAGGUCCGGGCGUUAUCCGGAUUUAUUGGGUUUAAAGGGAGCGUAGGCCGGAGAUUAAGCGUGUUGUGAAAUGUAGACGCUCAACGUCUGCACUGCAGCGCGAACUGGUUUCCUUGAGUACGCACAAAGUGGGCGGAAUUCGUGGUGUAGCGGUGAAAUGCUUAGAUAUCACGAAGAACUCCGAUUGCGAAGGCAGCUCACUGGAGCGCAACUGACGCUGAAGCUCGAAAGUGCGGGUAUCGAACAGGAUUAGAUACCCUGGUAGUCCGCACGGUAAACGAUGGAUGCCCGCUGUUGGUCUGAAUAGGUCAGCGGCCAAGCGAAAGCAUUAAGCAUCCCACCUGGGGAGUACGCCGGCAACGGUGCAACUCAAAUGAAUUGACGGA